AACGAACGCUGGCGGCGUGCCUAACACAUGCAAGUCGAGCGCGAAAGGAGCAAUCCGAGUAGAGCGGCGCACGGGUGCGUAACACGUGGAUAAUCUGCCUCAGGGUUGAGGAUAACCUUCCGAAAGGUUGGCUAAUACUCGGUAAGCUUACGGUGACUUCGGUCGCUGUGAGAAAACUAGACCUUUACUUAUAAGUUUAGGCCCAGAGCUCAGUCCGCGGCCCAUCAGCUAGUUGGCGGGGUAACGGCCCACCAAGGCUACGACGGGUAGCUGGUCUGAGAGGACGAUCAGCCACACUGGAACUGAGACACGGUCCAGACUCCUACGGGAGGCAGCAGUAGGGAACUUUCCGCAAUGGGCGAAAGCCUGAUGGAGCAACGCCGCGUGUGUGAUGAAGGUCUUCGGAUCGUAAAGCACUUUCGACUGGGACGAAAAACCUUUGGCUAACAUCCAGGGGCCUGACGGUACCAGGAGAAGAAGCACCGGCUAACUCUGUGCCAGCCGCCGCGUAACAC
rnacentral:rRNA from 1 species